AACGCGAAGAACCUUACCAGGGUUUGACAUCCUGCGAAUCCCUUGGAAACGAGGGAGUGCCUUCGGGAGCGCAGUGACAGGUGGUGCAUGGCUGUCGUCAGCUCGUGUCGUGAGAUGUUGGGUUAAGUCCCGCAACGAGCGCAACCCACGUCGUUAGUUGCCAGCAUUCAGUUGGGCACUCUAGCGAGACCGCCGGUGAUAAACCGGAGGAAGGUGUGGAUGACGUCAAGUCAUCAUGCCCCUUACAUCCUGGGCUACACACGUACUACAAUGCUACGGACAAAGGGCAGCAAACUCGCGAGAGCUAGCAAAUCCCAUAAACCGUGGCUCAGUUCAGAUCGUAGGCUGCAACUCGCCUACGUGAAGGAGGAAUCGCUAGUAAUCGCAGGUCAGCAUACUGCGGUGAAUACGUUCCCGGGUCUUGUACACACCG
rnacentral:rRNA from 1 species